rnacentral:rRNA from 1 species
CAAGUCGAACGAGAACCAGCUUUGUAGCAAUACCGAGCUGGGGAAAGUGGCGAAAGGGGCAGUAAUGCGUGGGUAACGUACCUCGGGGAUGGGCAUAGCUGGUCUAACGGCCAGGUAAUUCCCAGCGAUUUGGUUGAGGGGCAUCCCUUGGCCAGGAAAUGAAUUUCGCCUCGAGAGCGGCUCACGUCGUAUUAGCUUGUUGGCGAGGUAACGGCUCACCAAGGCUAAGAUGCGUAGCGGGUGUGAGAGCACGACCCGCGCCACUGGCACUGAGACACUGGCCAGACACCUACGGGUGGCUGCAGUCGAGGAUCUUCGGCAAUGGGCGCAAGCCUGACCGAGCGACGCCGCGUGUGCGAAGAAGGCCUUCGGGUUGUAAAGCACUGUCGAGGGGGAGAAAGCCGCAAGGUUGAUCUAUCCCUGGAGGAAGCACGGGCUAAGUUCGUGCCAGCAGCCGCGGUAAGACGAACCGUGCGAACGUUGUUCGGAAUCACUGGGCUUAAAGGGCGCGUAGGCGGGUCAGCAAGUCCGGGGUGAAAUCUUUCGGCUCAACCGGAAAAGUGCCUCGGAUACUGCUGGUCUUGAGGGAGGUAGGGGUUUGUGGAACUUCUGGUGGAGCGGUGAAAUGCGUUGAUAUCAGAAGGAACGCCGGUGGCGAAAGCGACGAACUGGACCUCUUCUGACGCUGAGGCGCGAAAGCUAGGGGAGCAAACGGGAUUAGAUACCCCGGUAGUCCUAGCCCUAAACGAUGGGUACUAGAGAGUAGUCUUAUCACGGGAUUACUCUCGAAGCAAAAGUGAUAAGUACCCCGCCUGGGGAGGAUGGUCGCAAGGC